rnacentral:rRNA from 1 species
AUUGAACGCUGGCGGAAUGCUUUACACAUGCAAGUCGAACGGCAGCACGGGUGCUUGCACCUGGUGGCGAGUGGCGAACGGGUGAGUAAUGCACCGGAACGUAUCCAAUAAUGGGGGAUAACGCACCGAAAGGUGUGCUAAUACCGCAUACGCCCUGAGGGGGAAAGCGGGGGAGUCGUAAGACCUCGCGUUAAUGGAGCGGCCGAUGCCGGAUUAGCUAGUUGGUGAGGUAACGGCUUACCAAGGCGACGAUCUGUAGCGGGUCUGAGAGGAUGAUCCGCCACACUGGAACUGAGACACGGUCCAGACUCCUACGGGAGGCAGCAGUGGGGAAUUUUGGACAAUGGGCGCAAGCCUGAUCCAGCCAUGCCGCGUGAGUGAAGAAGGCCUCGGUUGUAAGUACUCUUUCGGUCCGGGAAGGAAGUACGCAUGGUUAAGUACCUCGUGUGGAGUGACGGUACCGGAAGUAAGAAG